rnacentral:rRNA from 1 species
UACGUAGGGUGCGAGCGUUAAUCGGAAUUACUGGGCGUAAAGCGUGCGCAGGCGGUUCGUUAAGUCAGCUGUGAAAGCCCCGGGCUCAACCUGGGAAUUGCGGUUGAAACUGGCGGACUAGAAUCUGGCAGAGGGGGGUGGAAUUCCACGUGUAGCAGUGAAAUGCGUAGAGAUGUGGAGGAACACCGAUGGCGAAGGCAGCCCCCUGGGUCAAGACUGACGCUCAUGCACGAAAGCGUGGGGAGCAAACAGG